rnacentral:lncRNA from 1 species
GGCAAGGACAGUUUGCAGUAGCUCUAGCCCUAAGACAGACACAUGUGCAGGACACAGCCACGGUAAAGGCUGCAGCACCUCAACUGUCAACUGAUGAAUCUGAGCUCAUUUGCUGAAGGGAUAAACCAACCAGUGAAUCUCAACUCCAUCCUUCUACCACUCGGGCCUUAACUCUAGUGCCAGACAAGAGAAAGGGAAAAAUUCUUGGAACCUCUAGAGCUAGCCACACUUGAAAAAGAGAAGAGCUAGAUGUCUUUUGAACCAUCCUGUCUGCUUGACCAGUAGGACUGCUCUGUAUCAGUGCCUAAGUCCCUCCCUAUGGGGUCUCCUUCUUGUCUUAGAGUCAGUUGAGGGGAGCCCCCAAUGCCUUUCUCCCUGUUGCUCAUGAAGGACACUACUGGUUGACCACAGCUCUUUCCCAUGCUGCUCUGGACAGCAGUCACAUCUUUGCCAUUAUGGAACUAGCUAGCAAUCAUGCCUCAUGCUGUCACCUGUAAGAAGGGAGAGUAUUUACUCCCAUAGCCCAUGAGCAGUGUCUACAGCUGUGGACUGUCCAGAGACUAGAUAACCAGUGAUUCAGAAGCCUGGCUGCAGAUCUGGUCGCUUGAAUAAAAAUGCCCCACGUGCCUAGAGGGGGUGGCACUAUUAGGAGGUGUGACCUUAUUGGGAUAGGUGUGGCCUUGCUGGAGGAACUUUGUCCUUGUGGGGACAAGCUUUGAUAUCUCAGAAGCUCAAGUCAGUUCACUUCCACUGCCUGUGGAUCAAGAUGUAGAACUCUCAGCUCCAUCUUCAGCACCAUGGCCGGACUGCUUCAUACUGCCGCGUUUCCCACCGUGAUGAUAAUAGACUAAACCUUUGAAACUGUAAGCCGGCCCCAAUUAAAUGUUUUCCUUUAUCAGAGUUGUCACGGUCACAGUCUCUCUUCAUAGCAAUAAAAAUCCUAACUAUGACACUUGGGAUGCUCUGCGAAUUGUAUCUCUGGGCCCCAGCAUUUAGCAUAUUCCUGUUCUUUCUCUAUGGUGCCAU